GAAAUAAGAAAGGCCUGGCUUCUAACCGGAACCGAAAGCGAAUUAAAUCGUUUAUAUUUCU
rnacentral:tRNA from 1 species